UUUUUAAUUUCCACUCCCCCUCUCCUCUGAGUUUCUCUUUCUCAGAACCCUCUCUCUCCACAACGCCAAGGCCGUGAAGGACCUCCGAUCCUGCAUGGACGCCGACGUGUCCCUCGCUCUCAAGAAGACAAGCUGAUCAAAGUCAAGCUCGAGGCGCUGUGGAUCGGACCAGGACCUCCGUGGUGAACGGGCUGAGGAAGAAGCUGAAGGAUUCGUUUGAGGGUUUCAAUAAUCUCCGGCAACAGAUCUCGUCGGAGUAUCGGGAGAUCGUACAACGCCGGUACUUCACCGUCACCGGCAAAAAUCCCGACGACAAAACCGUUGACCUUCUUAUUUCCACAGGCUCAGUGGGGAAGAAGAAAAAUUAAAGCAGAGCAUUAACACUAAAAUUUUCACUCUCGGGGAAAGAAAAAACCGUCUUUUUAUUACUCAUCUUCGAAAGAGGUUUGAUAGAGAGCAUGGUGGAAGCAGAUGGAGUCGAGAACCUUGAAUUUGAAUGGGGUAAAAAGAGAGGAGUUGGUGGGAAAAAGAAAGAUGUCCAAUUUUAUGAAACGUUUACAUAUGAUGGUGUGGAGUAUUCUCUCUAUGAUUCUGUUUACCUUUACAAGGAAGGUGAACCCGACCCUUAUGUUGGGAAAAUUAUAAAAAUAUGGGAGAAUUCAGACAAGACAAAAAAAGUGAAGAUUCUUUGGUUCUUUCGCCCUUGCGAGAUUCAGAAUUUUCUUGGGAAUGAAGACAGUGCUGAGAAUGAAUUAUUUUUGGCCUCUGGUGAAGGUGUAGGCCUUGCAAAUGUUAAUCCUUUGGAAGCAAUUUCUGGAAAAUGCAAUGUUGUCUGUACUUCAAAGGAUAGUAGAAAUCCACAACCUUCAGAUGAAGAACUUCAAGCAGCUGACUUUAUAUUUUGCCGUGCCUUUGAUGUUGGGAAUCAUAGAAUUCUGGAUAAGAUAGAGGAAAAAGUUGCUGGGAUUGAAGUUAAAUUUAUCUUUAACAGAAUAGAUCUUCAGAAGACCAAUGUUGUUUUGAAACUUGAUUCAGACAAGAAAGGAGCUAGUGGAAAUGCUGUAGCAAGUUAUGAAACAGGGGUUCCUUCCCAGCAAACUCCAACUAUAGAGCACACAAAUCUAAAGACAACUGGAAUUUCUAUUGAUAAUUUAGGGAAGGACAAUGCUGGUUCUAACUCUUCAUUAGUUAAACAGAAAUCUUCACUUAGAGAGAAGCCUAUUUCUACCAUAGGUGUAGAAUCUGAUGAAAUGGCUAAAAGUAAUGAUAGAAUGGAGAAUGAUUUCAAUGACGGGACCAAAUCUGGUCCUAUUGUUAAAGAAAAUACAGACUUGAAAGCUUCUCUAGUUGAACAAAAAUCUUUGCUUAGAAAGCAGCCUGUUUCUAAUAUAGGUACAGAGGUAAAAAUUUCUAAAACUAAUAAUAGACAGGAAAAUGUUUCUAGUGGCAAGACUACAUUAAGGUUUGAAGAUGAUUCAAUCAAGGUUGGUAAACGGGUUGACAUUGAGAAGAAAGUAAAGUCUGCUAAGGAUUUUGGUGAAAUGGAGGAUAGACCAUCUAAGAGAGCAAAGUUUGAUGGUUUUGUUAAAGUUGAUGAUAAGAACAAGAAGAGUCCACAGAUAUUAAGCACUGAUUUGGAUAGUAAUGAUGCAAAGGCUUUAGCAACUGUAACUGCUUUAGAUGAUAAAUCUAGGCUUAAACUUGCUAAGGAUACUCAAGUGGCUGAAAAAGAUCCUUUCAAGAAGGUAAAACCUGAUGACAAGACAAAGUUUUCUAAUGGGAGGUUGCCUACAGCAUCUCCUGGACGGGCUUUGGAUGAGGACAAAAAGAUUGAUCACCAAGUAAUGGAAGUAACACGAAGACCAGAUACGGAUAGAAGCAGAUGGUUUAAGGGACUUCCCUGGGAAGACAGAAUGAAAACUGCUAAUGAGCAAGGAACACUGGUUCUUCUUCAAAAUUUGGAUCCAACUUAUACUUCAGCAGAAGUGGAGGAUAUUGUUUGGCAUGGCUUCAAGGAAAGUUGCACAGCAAAGAUGAUUCAGCAGACUUCAAUUUCUAGCCCUCACUCUGGUCAAGCUUUAAUUAUAUUUAAAACAAGAGAAGCAGCAGAGAUAGCUGUUAGAAAGUUAGAUGAGGGCUGUCUAUUAUUAUCAAAUGGGAGGCCUCUUGUUGGAAGUAAAAUUACUUGCUACCCAGAAAAGAAGCCUUCUUUUUUUGGCCAUCUUGUUAUUGAUAAACUUAAACAUCAAAUGCAACGGGAAAUGAAAGAAGCUGUAUCUACUUCACAUUGUUCUCAGCCUAAUACAAUUGAAUAUGAAAUGGCCAUGGAAUGGUGCUUAUUGCAAGAUAGAUCAGAACUUGCAUGGAAAAAGUUGUAUGAGCAACAAGGGGAGGCGUUGAGAAAACUUCAGUCCAGCCUCAAGUUCAAAUGAAAAUACUAGUUGCUUUGGGCGCUUCCUCUUUAUGUACCUCUAUCUUUGUUCAUGCAUUCUGAACUUCCUCAUCCUGAAGCACCCCGAAACAAUGGAUUUUGUGUUCAUACCUUAAUGGUAUUAUCAGAAGUCAUCAAAUUAGAGGGUUCCUACCUUCUGAUUAGUAUAUAUGGGAAGAUGGAAUACAUGGGCCGAGGUCCUUAUUGGGAAUCAGGCAAAUUUUGAGCAUAUGUGCAUAUUUUUUGAGGAUCAGCUUUUGGGUGUUGGGAAUUGGAGUUCAAGUAUCAGUUUCAUGGUAACUAUUGGGCAAACAGUAUGAUCCUCUUCGAUUGAUUUGAGAUGGAGAGGGGGGCUACUUUUUUCAACGAGGAUUCAAUUGUUCACGAAACUAAAGGUUUAUACGGUGCCAUGCCAUUGAAAUUCUCAUUCCAUCAAAAAAAGAAUGAGAUUUGGAUUUAAAUCAUGUGGUAUCACUUAUACUUCUAGAUUCAUGAAAAUUAAAUUUUUUACCAUGAAAUUAUCUCACACCAUAUCAAAAGCAAAUGGAGAGGAUCGUAGUGGUUGCACAAUAUGUGCAUCAUCAGGGAUAGUGUAAAUUUAUCAUAUUUAGUGAAAUAUAUAGAGUUUAAAUUUA